rnacentral:lncRNA from 1 species
GUUUAAUUUUCGCGCACUAAAGCAAAUAGAAAAUAAUAGCAUUUUAGCCAAUCAAAAAGCCGCUAAAACUUGACAGCGAAACGAAUCAGUGCGCAUCAUUGUGCGCAUGUCGUCAGUCUACAGUUGAAAAGUGUAGUGAUAGGACUCGUUUCAUAGAUUAUCGUUUGAUUGAACCAUUAAAAUGGAUGGCAUGUAACACAUGUUUUUGCACACAUAUGAUGAUAAUUGAAAGAUAAUUCGAUGAUUUUCAUGUAAAUAUAUGUAACUGAUUACUGAGAUUACUUUAAGCGGGAAAAGAAUUUUCAAUAUGGAUGCCAUGAUGACAAUUCACAAAGGAGAAAUAAAGUUUAAAUUCUUGUAUCGAAGAAAGAAGUAUAUAUUAUAUUGUGAUCACGUGCAAUGCGGUCAGUAGAUUCAGUGUUUGUUUCGUAAUAGUAUUUUUAAAUAUUUUCGAGCACAAUAUAUAGUUUUAAGUAAAUUUAAUUGUAAUAAAUAUACGCGAAAUUAAAGUCAGUGCUCAUUCGCCGGUAAAAGAACGUAUUAAGUUAAUUUUUUUAUUAUUUUUCUAUUUUAAAUAUAUUCGUCUUUGGUA